AGAGUUUGAUCCUGGCUCAGGAUGAACGCUGGAGGCGUGCCUAAUACAUGCAAGUAGAACGCUUUGUUUUUAAUUGAUAUGAAGAGCUUGCUAUGAUUUGAUUUUAUCUGACAAAGAGUGGCGAACGGGUGAGUAACACGUGGGUAACCUACCUCUUAGCAGGGGAUAACUUUUGGAAACAAGUGCUAAUACCGUAUAACACUAACAACCGCAUGGUUGUUAGUUGAAAGAUGGUUCUGCUAUCACUAAGAGAUGGACCCGCGGUGCAUUAGCUAGUUGGUAAGGUAAUGGCUUACCAAGGCGAUGAUGCGUAGCCGAGUUGAGAGACUGAUCAGCCACAAUGGGACUGAGACACGGCCCAUACUCCUACGGGAGGCAGCAGUAGGGAAUCUUCCACAAUGGGCGCAAGCCUGAUGGAGCAACGCCGCGUGUGUGAUGAAGGGUUUCGGCUCGUAAAACACUGUUAUAAGAGAAGAACGACAUUGAGAGUAACUGUUCAGUGUGUGACGGUAUCUUAUCAGAAAGGAACGGCUAAAUACGUGCCAGCAGCCGCGGUAAUACGUAUGUUCCAAGCGUUAUCCGGAUUUAUUGGGCGUAAAGCGAGCGCAGACGGUUAUUUAAGUCUGAAGUGAAAGCCCUCAGCUCAACUGAGGAAGGGCUUUGGAAACUGGAUAACUUGAGUGCAGUAGAGGAAAGUGGAACUCCAUGUGUAGCGGUGAAAUGCGUAGAUAUAUGGAAGAACACCGGUGGCGAAAGCGGCUUUCUGGACUGUAACUGACGUUGAGGCUCGAAAGUGUGGGUAGCAAACAGGAUUAGAUACCCUGGUAGUCCACACCGUAAACGAUGAGUGCUAGAUGUUCGAGGGUUUCCGCCCUUGAGUGUCGCAGCU
rnacentral:rRNA from 1 species